GACAGGUUUCUGUGCUUGUGGAGGGACACGCUGGGAGUUGGAAGGACACAGGACCCACUGGGCCUGGCCACUGCUCGCUGAUCCUGGGUGCUGAGAAGGAAUCUGCUCAGUCACCAAGACUCGUUUCGGACCGAAGGGAACUGUGGUCUUAACAGGCCUGGAGACAGUUUUCUUUACAUCUGUCCAUGUCACCCCGGUGCCACUCAACCUUCGGUUUGCAGCAUCCAGGCUCGUCCUCACCAGCCCGGUCCCCUUCCGACUCACAGGCAGGAACCCGCUUUAUAUUUAUUUUUUAUAAGUUAAUACCAUCCUUUCACUUUAAAGGACCCAGAUUUCUCCUGAGAGUUUCUGUAAUGACACUGGAAAUGUCACUAUUUGAUAAUAAUUUGCAGUAAAGAAAAAUAUUUUACUUCUUUCUAAACCACUUUAUUUGUUAUUGGGGGGUGGGGCACAAGGACUCCAACCUCUACUCUGGAAGACCCAGGCCAGGACAGCUGUGAUACUGGAGAGGUGGCUGCACAGUUGAUGCUUCCUCCUUUCACAGAGGUCUAAAGUUCAGUUCUCAGCACUGUGUUCAGUAUCUUACAACUGCCUAUAUCUCUAGCUCCAAGGGGCCAGUGCCCCUUUCUGGGCAAAUUAAACAUAAAAACAAGAUGGGGGAAGCCAAGGUUAAGAGCUGCCCAGAUCUGGCAGUGAGUCGGAAUGGCAAAGUACACAAAUGUCUAGGCUUGAGUCCUGCUGUCAUUCUUUUUCUUGGACAUGUGACCCUAGGCAAGCUGUGUGCCUCAGUCACAAGUGUCCCAAAAACUUCUUUGUAGUGGGUGGAGCUGAUUUGUUAUGACAUUGCUUAAGAUCUUGGGAAAUGGGGCUGGCAAGAUGGCUCAGUUGGUAAAGCAUUUGCCAUCUGGUGCAGGGGAACCUGCAUUCCAAUCUUCAACAAAAACGCCAGGUGUAACAUUACAUGCAUACAAGCCCCUGCACUGGGGAGGAAACAGGAGCGAUUUUGGGGUUCUCUAGAGAGCCAGCCUAGCCAAGUCACUGAGCUCCUUGUUCAGUGAGAGCAUAAGGUAGGAGCUAGAGCAGUGGCUCACUGGUUAGGAAUGCAUGAUGCACCUGCAGAGGACCCAGGUUCAGUCCCUUGCACCCAUAUUAGACGACUCAGAACUAUCUGUAACUUGAGUUUCCAGCCUCUAAGCUCACCUGCAGUCAUGUGCAUAUAAACACAAACCUACACACAUUCACAAAACAAAUAAAAUGAAUAAGAGAAAAGAGACUGAAGAGACAGCUCAGUGGUUAGAGCAUUAGCUCUUCUUCCAGAGGAUCUGGGUUCAAUUCCCAGCACCUAUAUGGCAGCUCACAACUCAUAAGUGUCUGUAACGCCAGUUUCUUCUGAUCAUUGUGCACAGAAUCAUAUGCAGACAAAAUGCCCAUACACAUAAAAUAACUUUUUUUAUAUAUUUUUUUAAAGAUUUAUUUUUAUGAGUCUUCAAACACACUAGAAGAGGGCAUCAGAUCCCAUUACAGAUGGUUGUGAGCCACCAUGUGGUUGCUGGGAAUUGAACUCAGGACCUCUGGAAGAGCAGUCAGUGCUCUUAACCGCUGAGCCAUCUCUCCAGCCCAUAAAAUAACUUUUUAAAAGGUAGAGAAAAAUACCAAGCAGCCUCUGGGCUACAGGUGCACACAAAAUGGACACAGGUUUGACAGCUCUAAAGAGUUGGGCUCUUCUCCAGAGUAAAAACCAAAUUCAUUGUGUCUUUCCACUGGGUCCCCUAGUGGAAGAUCAGAGAAUGUGGAUGACGAUCAGCUUCUCUUCCAUUUCUAAAACUGGAGGGGACAAGUGUCCCCUCACAGUCCAUUGUCAAAGUCAGCUGUGUGCUUAGCCACAACCAAAAUACAAAGGAAAUAGGGGAGUAAACUGCUCACAGGAUGUUUUCUCCAUGGCUUCACCCAUGGUUUGGAAGUGGGGAAGUGAGACUGAGUGCUGGCUUUCCAAGUUGGUCUAGGUGAGUAUGGGUAGUGAAGAAUGUCCCCCAGAGAGAGCAGCAAACUGUGGACCACACCCCAAGACCAUGCUCUAGGCACAUGUAUACUGCCAUUGCUGUCCCUCACUGAAACCAUAGGUCUGCCUCAGACAAAGCAGUGGAGUUAGGGAUCCCUGACCAUUAGACUCAGCACUAUCUGGGCCCAGUUGAUUUGGCUUGGACCUUACAUGCAGGGUAUGUUUCCGAGCCUCAGUCUCAGGUCAGAUCUUCAACAGUCUUCAGUGAUCACUGAGGGAAGAGCUGGGAUAGGGCACUGGGUUCUGGGGUCAAGUUUAAUUUGCUCUCCCAGGGCCUGCCCUUAGCCAUUCCACCCAGCCACACUAUCUUCUGCCCAGAAGCCAUACCAACUCCACGAAUACAUAAGUCGAUACAUCCUCGUGUUCUCUCCCAGGUCCUGUUCAAACCAACUUUGUUUCAUGGGCCUCUGCUGUGUUUUCUUCAGGCUCAGUGUAAUCUAGAGCACCUCCUGCAGCUCCCACACAGAGCCUAGGCCCAUUGCUACUAGGGCCUUUUGAAUGUGACCUAUCUAGAAACUGUAGAUGGUGCUAUGGUGCUAGAGGUCAGUUCCUGGGCCCCAAGACCACUUGCCAUCAGAAUGGUUGUAUUAUCUAAUACUGCCUGUCCCUGGUUCCCUCGGUCAAUAUGUAUUGAGUGUCUUUGUUUUGCACUGUGCAAAGUUCUGGAGGCACACUAAACCUAUAACUUCUUAAACAAAUCUCUUACUUCAAGAAGGAAAGGAAGCUUGUCCCUAGCCUCUGCCUUUGAGGAAGGAAUCUAGAAAGGAAUUCAGUUCUGGGCAUGUGCUGAGGAAGUUGGAUUGUUGGAAAGGUGGGCUUCUGGGCAGAGAUUGGUAUUAAAAUUCUCUGGCCUCAGUUUUCUGUCAAAGGGAUUUAGUGACUGUCAGUAUAGCCUUAAAGAGAAGUGGGAAGGAAGGGAUGGUGCCUACCUUGGGCUGAGUUGCCUGAAUGGUUAUGCUACCUGCAUUUACAUCCAUGCCUGGCACACAGGUGUAGCUGUGGUCAGGAAGACAACUCUGGUGUAGCUGAGACACCGUCAGUGCCAAUCCAGGAGGUGGCUCGAUGUUUGCCCUGCAUAGCUUCCAUGCCCAGCAUCACAGAAAAGAAAGAAAAGAAAAGGGCCUAGAGUGACAUCUAGAGGCUGUGGCUUGCUGGGGCUGAUGCCUGUUCCUGCCACCAGGUGGGGCCUGUAGCAGGAGAGCUUGGCUUGAGGGAUUAAUGGCUAACCACCCUACUGACUUACCUGGUGUUGUCAUGUGCCGAAUACCCUAUGGCCCAGGCUCUAUUCCUAGAUCAAUGUGAGCUGGACAUACAGACAAAGCAGCCUCUGCCUGAGUCCAAGCAUUGGAGUGGCAGACUAAGUGUUGUGGUGCCCCAUUUCUGCUUCUUCCAGAGCAGAAUUGACAACAGGACUGUACCUGAGUGGUUAGAAUCCCAAGAGCAAGUUUCCCCUUGGUCACUAGGCAUCACUUUCUAGUUUCAGUUUUUUCUUCUGUACAACAAAGGCAGCCACGGUGAUGAGGCUCUGAAUGAACUCAUGGUCAUCCCCACAAAAGGGGAUCAAUCUGGGAUGAAGGGGAGCCCUAAAAGCCCUGUUUCAGAGUGGGCCAUCAGAAAAACCUCAGGAUGGGUGGGGUAAAGCAGGUGCUGUAUCCUAGAAGCAGGUUUGAGUCCUUUCCUGAUCCCAACAUAGUAAUUGCCUAUGUAUUAGUGAGUAGGGCAGAUAAGACCAGUGAUUGGAUCCAGGGACCAUAUGUAUGUGAGAAUUGCUUUGCCACAGUGACAGAGGAACAUUUCUAAGUAGAACCCAGGGAUACUGUUCAACAUACUUAGUAUGUACAGGACCCACCAGCCCUGAACUGCAGCCAACAGUGGCCAUGAUGUAACAGUGAUCAAUCAAGGUGAGUAGAGUGGGACAAGCCUAUUAUUCCAGCACUCUAGAUGCUGAGACAGGAGGAACUCGAGUUUGCCCAGCCUGGGCAACAUAGUGAGAGACUCACAAUUUUACAAAUAUAAAUAGAUAUAGAACUGAAUCCUGAGCUGGGGAUGUAUUGCAGUUGGUAGAGUGCUUAUGUAGCAUGCAUAAUACCUUGGAUUUGAGCCCCAUAAUUAUGUUGUGGUAAGACAGGCCUGUAAUACCAGCACUUGGGAGUUGGAGGUAGGAACAUCUGAAAUUCAAGGCCAUCCUCAACUACAAAGAGAGUUUAGGGCCAGCCUGGGCUUCGUGAAACCUUGUCUCACAAAAUGGCAUCAAAAAGCAUUGGAUUCACACAAGACACAAGCAAUAGAGGAUAUGUAAGUGUGUUCGGUCUCAGUGUACCAUUUGAACUUGUCCUAGAGUUGGACAUCCCUGAAACAAACCUGGCAGAGGGCUGUGGGUUCUCUCUGUGUGAUUUCUUAAAAUUGCAUGUGAAAUCUAAAAUGACCUCAAAAUACGGGGAGUUGGUGAAUGCGCACACCAUCAACCAAGGUUCAGAGCAGACAACUUGAUUGGCCUGGGGUGGGUGUGGACUUAAAGUAGACAGCUAGGGCUGAGAGUCACUGUCCACUUUGGUUGUAGGGUGAGCAUGGAUGUGCAGGCCUUGUUCAGAUCAAUCUGGACAUGCUGGGUUCUUCCAGGUCUGGUAUUAAUCAAUAAUCUGUUACUUUCUCUGUCAUUUUCCACCUGUAGAGGAAUCUAGAUUGGGCACCUUGUGGCACAUUGAAGGCCCCUGGGUCUCUGUCAUCUACCGCCACUGCAGGAUCUAUGUCUCGCUCCAAGGGGGCUGUCAAAGAGUCCCAACCCAGACCAGGUACUUAGCUCUGGCUGGCCAGGCACAGACUACGUAGACCAUUCCUUGCAUUCAAAUAUCUGCUUUC
ensembl:lncRNA